rnacentral:rRNA from 1 species
UACGAAGGGGGCUAGCGUUGCUCGGAAUCACUGGGCGUAAAGGGUGUGUAGGCGGGUCUUUAAGUCAGGGGUGAAAUCCUGGAGCUCAACUCCAGAACUGCCUUUGAUACUGAAGAUCUUGAGUCCGGGAGAGGUGAGUGGAACUGCGAGUGUAGAGGUGAAAUUCGUAGAUAUUCGCAAGAACACCAGUGGCGAAGGCGGCUCACUGGCCCGGUACUGACGCUGAGGUGCGAAAGCGUGGGGAGCAAACAGG